ACGCACGUAGCCUCCCGGGCUCCUCUGAAUUCAGAUCUGAAGAAUGAAGCCCCAAUGCUCGUGCUAAAAAGAUGUCGUCAAGUGUUGCAGAUUUGCCUUACUGUACCUUUUUGCUCCACGGCUGAUCUGUGUCAAAUCGGCGGCGACAUGU